ensembl:snRNA U6 U6 spliceosomal RNA
GUGCUCGCUUUUGCAGCACAUACUAAAAUUGAAAUGAUACAGAGAAGAUUAGCAUGGCCCCUGCGCAAGGAUGACACGCAAAAAAGAAAAUCAAUAUUAUAUACUU